rnacentral:tRNA from 1 species
GAAUCUUUAGUAUAAUUUUGAGUAUGGUUAAUUGCAAAUUAACAGGUUGAAGAUUUU